rnacentral:rRNA from 1 species
UACAGAGGUCUCAAGCGUUGUUCGGAUUCAUUGGGCGUAAAGGGUGCGUAGGUGGCUUGGUAAGUCGGAUGUGAAAUCCCGGGGCUCAACCCCGGAACUGCAUUCGAUACUGCUGAGCUGGAGUACUGGAGAGGAGAUUGGAAUUUACGGUGUAGCAGUGAAAUGCGUAGAUAUCGUAAGGAAGACCAGUGGCGAAGGCGGAUCUCUGGACAGUUACUGACACUGAGGCACGAAGGCCAGGGGAGCAAACGGG